CCUACGGGAGGCUGCAGUGAGGAAUAUUGGUCAAUGGGCGGGAGCCUGAACCAGCCAAGCCGCGUGAGGGAAGAAGGUACAGCGUAUCGUAAACCUCUUUUGUCAGGGAACAAAGGCGGGGACUAGUCCCCGGAUGAGGGUACCUGAAGAAAAAGCAUCGGCUAACUCCGUGCCAGCAGCCGCGGUAAUACGGAGGGGGCAAGCGUUAUCCGGAUUUACUGGGUGUAAAGGGGGCGCAGACGGCGAUGCAAGCCAGGAGUGAAAGCCCGGGGCCCAACCCCGGGACUGCUCUUGGAACUGGGUGGCUCGAGUGCAGGAGGGGCAGGCGGAAUUCCUGGUGUAGCGGUGAAAUGCGUAGAUAUCAGGAGGAACACCGGUGGCGAAGGCGGCCUGCUGGACUGCAACUGACGUUGAGGCCCGAAAGCGUGGGUAGCAAACAGGAUUAGAUACCCGAGUAGUC
rnacentral:rRNA from 1 species